GCUGCUGCCCUCUAACCUAAACACACACACACAGAGUAUCUGAAGGAAAAGAAAGGGAAGGUAGAAUCGGGAAAAAGAAAAAGGAGGGGAGGGGGCUUCUACCGCCGUUCAGCUCGCCGCCACAAUGUCACACCUUGCUGCCAUGCCUCACGCCUCGCCGUUGUCAUCCUCGCGGGCAUGGUGGAAGCCUUUCUACUGCCACUGCUGCCCGUGAAGGCAACGCCGUCGCGUCAGAGCUCAGGCGAGAGGGAAAAGGUCGCGAAGGAGGAGGGAACCGCGCCGUUCUGCUCCACCGUCGCCACUGAAGCUGCACAUAGUCCCUAGUUGCCGCCGCGCCAAACACAGGGGUGGCCGCCGUUGAUGCAAAGGAGUCGCGCGGCCACCGUUGCAUCCUCACACACAGAGAGAGAGAGAUGCACGAAAGGGGACCCUUUUCUGCCGCUGUCGUGUCGUGAGCGCCGAUUCGGUGUUUGCCGCCGUCGAGCUUCCAUAGCUACCGCAUUUCACCGCGGUUGAGGGCGUCUCCACCACUGCACCUUGGCCGACGACACUGCCAUCUGCUGCUCCGCGGUGCCUAGCUGGAGCUUUUGUUGCUGUUGCCGAAAAUCGGUGGUUGCCAGAAAACACCACUGUUGUUGCUGCCGAAAGAAGGAGAUGCCGUGCCACUGUUCUGGUCGCCAGGAGCAGUCUUGCGGCCACCAGAAACACCGCCGGAGAUGCCGCCGCUUGGCUCAGUAACUUCUCCUUAGUUGUGGGCUGAGUUCGAAUUAUGGCAUGUCACAGUUAGGCUUGUUGUUGCUGUUGCGAGUAGUUGAAGCUGAGGCUGCCUCUGUCACCGAAAAGUUUGCCGUCGUCGUGAUUGGAAUUCGUCACCGCUGCCGCUUGAGGUGGCUGCCGGGCUGCCGCCGAGCUGGUUCGAAGACCGCCGUGGUGUCGGUUUAGCCAUUCUUCUUUUGGUUCGGUAAGCAUUUUCGAUUUGAAAGCCCUUUAAUUGCUGUUCUGUUAUCAUACGCUGAGGUUUGUGGCGUUAAUUGCUAUACGAUUGAGUUUCAGUUAUUACAUGUUGCGAAUAGUGUUGCUAUAGUUGUUUGGGAGCUGAGGUUUUGGUUGCCGGUGAUUUCGAGUUGAGGCAGAAAGGACUCUGUGAGACGUUAUAUUAUGGAAUUUGCGUUUUGAGGAUAUGGGUGCUGAAGUCACGAAGAGUUUAUUUAAUUGUUGUUAUGAUGCUCUGUAUUGUUUUAGUUAUGUUUUAUUGUACCAUCGCCUUUAUCUUGAUAUAUUCUGUAAGAGGGAUAGGAAUUGUAUUGGUUACUGCUUGUAAUAUUAUUUAUAAAUAUAUGCAUAUAUAUGGAUGUAUCCUUUAUGAGUUUUUGUAA